UAGGGAAUCUUCGGCAAUGGGGGCAACCCUGACCGAGCAACGCCGCGUGAGUGAAGAAGGUUUUCGGAUCGUAAAGCUCUGUUGUAAGAGAAGAACGUGUGUGAGAGUGGCAAGUUCACACAGUGACGGUAACUUACCAGAAAGGGACGGCUAACUACGUGCCUG
rnacentral:rRNA from 1 species